rnacentral:rRNA from 1 species
CACAGAGUUAGCCGUCCCUUCCUCUUCGGCUACUAUCGAUCUCCCGGGCAGUUACUCCCAGAAGCCUUGUUCACCAAUGACAGGAGUUUACAAUCCGAAAACCUUCAUCCUCCACGCGGCGUCGCUCCUUCAGGGUUGCCCCCAUUGAGAAAAAUUCUCGACUGCUGCCACCCGUAGGUGUCUGGACCGUGUCUCAGUUCCAGUGUGGCUGGUCGUCCUCUCAGACCAGCUACCCGUCAUCGCCUUGGUGAGCCGUUACCUCACCAACUAGCUGAUAGGCCGCGGGCCCAUCCAAGAGCGCCAGAUUGCUCCGGCUUUAGCGUCCCAGGAAAUCUCCCGGUAGCCACAUGCGGUAUUAAUCCGCCUUUCGGCGGGCUAUCCCCCACUCCAGGGCAGGUUGCCCACGUGUUACGCACCCUUACGCCACUAAACUCCUCCAGUAUUGCUACUAGAAAAACGUCCGUUCGACUUGCAUGUCUUAUCCACGCCGCCAGCGUCGUUC